rnacentral:rRNA from 1 species
UACGUAGGGUCCGAGCGUUGUCCGGAAUUAUUGGGCGUAAAGGGCUCGUAGGCGGUUUGUCGCGUCGGGAGUGAAAACUCAGGGCUCAACCCUGAGCGUGCUUCCGAUACGGGCAGACUAGAGGUACGCAGGGGAGAACGGAAUUCCUGGUGUAGCGGUGGAAUGCGCAGAUAUCAGGAGGAACACCGGUGGCGAAGGCGGUUCUCUGGGCAUGACCUGACGCUGAGGAGCGAAAGCAUGGGGAGCGAACAGG